rfam:Picea glauca, whole genome shotgun sequence.
ACAUGUAUACAACAUAGCGUUAAUGCAUCGGAUCCCAUUAGAACUCUAGAGUUAAGCAUGCUCAAGAUAGAGUAGUACUAGGAUGGGUGACCACUCGAGAAGUCCUAGUGUUUUACAUGCC